GAUGAACGCUAGCUACAGGCUUAACACAUGCAAGUCGUGGGGCAGCAGUGGGGGUUGCUUGCAAUCCCUGAUGGCGACCGGCGCACGGGUGAGUAACGCGUAUCCAACCUGGCCCAUAGUAGGGAAUAGCCCGGCGAAAGUCGGAUUAAUGCCCUAUGUUCUCCUUUGAUGGCAUCUGACGAGGAGCAAAGAUUCAUCGCUAUGGGAUGGGGAUGCGUCUGAUUAGGUUGUUGGCGGGGUAACGGCCCACCAAGCCAUCGAUCAGUAGGGGUUCUGAGAGGAAGGUCCCCCACAUUGGUACUGAGACACGGACCAAACUCC
rnacentral:rRNA from 1 species